CGUUUUAGGAAACCAAGGCAGAGGGAGGCUGAGAAAUUUGCCUCUGGUCACACAGUAAGUGGCAGAGCUAGGAUUCAGUCUGCCCAGUUCCCAAGUUCAUGAGAUUUAACUACUAUGGCGCACUGCCUCCCAGCAGAGCAGUAAAGGGGUGCGGAGAAAAAGAUGGGAUAAAGAUCCCCGGGAGAGCCUCACUUGCCAACCCCCCCAAUACCUUCCACCUUAGACUCCUGAGAGCCCUGCCCAAGCUGUUUCUCUCACUUUCCUGCCAUGUUGAACUUCUGAGACACUCACAUGGGACAUCCAUAGUUAUUUUUUACAGAAUCACGGAAUAGACCUGAGGGAGUAUUCAGUUCUACCCUCUCCCUGAUUUACAGAAAAGGGAACUGAGGCCCAGAAUUGUUGUCCCACCAUUGGUUAAUGAGAAACAAGUAUUCUACUCUGCUGAAUCCUACUUCAGCUAACUUUCUACUCUACCACACUCCCUGAGAGCCCCUCAAAAAACUAUAAACUCCACACAGAUACAAAGAGAAAGUCUUAUUGUCACUUCCAUCAUUCAACUGAGAGGCACUUUUUCCCUAGAUAGUGUCUAUUAGAAGACAACAUCUCCUUCCCAGAAAUUUCUUCCAAUCCAGGGGAUUCUCCUCAGGGAAUCCCAAACACCUCUCCCAAGAACUCACUCCAGAGUCUUCAUCCUGGGAUUCUGCAUUCUACCUCAUCCACCUCUACAUUCUGAGAAGGAUCCAGCACACUUAACCUCAGAGCUCACUGCUUUCAGAGCCAGUAUGGCCAGAAUCCCAGGGAACAUGUUGGGCAAGAGUUCUCGGGGCAAACCAGGUCUGAACCUCACAGCAGCCCAUAGAAAUCCAAACAAAUUACAACCAACAUUCAACUCUAGACCCUUUAAGUAAAUAUUUUCUUCUGCUAGCACAUCACCCUAAAAAAAAUUCCACUCAUUUAGUAAAUCAAUCCUUUAUUCAAUAAAUAUUGAUUGAUUACCUUCUGUGCUAAGCAUGGUGCUUGGCACUGGGAAACAUGAUCAAGGAAGCCAUAGUCCUUGCUUUCAGAAGCCUGUAGUCCAUUGGGGAGGUGGAAUUCCUGUGCACAGUGAUGACCCACUUAUUGACCAUAAUAAAUGGAAUUCAUGGUGUUUGGAAAUCCCAUAUUCAGGCUUGAGAAGGCUUCCCAGACACAUGUGUGUCAGGGUUGAGACGUAAUUAAAAAGGAGGAAGAGUGUUCCAGACAGAGAAAACCUCUGAAAAGUUGAAGAAAAGAACAAGCAAGGAACAGGCAAGGGAUCUCAAAUAAUUCUAUCUGGCUCUAGAGAAGAGACUGUAGGGAUGGGACAGCAAACAAAUGGGCCUCGUCUUUGGUCAUGAGCUCCUCCAGUUCUGCCUGGGUAGCAGCUGAGCUGGUGGUGACACCUAUGGCAUAAAAACUCGAGAUUUUGCCCCCAUUUUCCUUCACAUGGGCAAUGCACAUCACAGAACAUCUAUCGAUAACUUACUCAGAUGUUCUCUCUGAGCUACAGUGAACUUCAACAAAUGCAGAUCUCACUUUGAAUUCUCUGUUCUUUUCUCUGCAAGAGGAGAAAUGGCUAGAUGAGUAGCCAUGGAGUCAAAGAUGGUUAGAAUUAAGGCAGUUUAGAGACUUUGGGUCAGAAGUCAAGGGAGGUCAGGCAAAGAAAUUUGUUUUUCUGAAUGCUUGGGUCAGAACUUAAACAGAGAGGCAGAAAGGUUAAGGGAUUUGCUGAGAAACUGCCUGUUUCCUGGAGGUCCCGACUCCCAGGCCUGUACUCUGAUCAUACAGUAUCUGCUGACAUCAGAAAACUAAAAAAGCUUAAUUUGAAUCAACACACAGAGAGCAGAGAGGGGAUGACAGGCAAUUAAUUUGAUUCCUCCUUUCCACCUAAUUCUCUCCUCAUCAGCUUAGAAAGAGAGUGAGUUUCCAUGACUACCUCCUGACACAGAGACUGGGUUGAGGGUGAUGCCAGUGUCAGCUCAGCUCCAUAGCUCACCCUGAUGGAGGCGGAGCCCAGAGACUCUGCCAAGCACAAGUACAAGACCUGGGACCCCUUGCUCCACCUACACUCACCUCAGCGAGUCACCCAGGCUCCACACUGUGCAUCCUGCUGGGUGCUGGGAAGGGAGGCGAGAUGGCCAAAAGCCCCUGAGGAUGGAUGUGCCCUCAGAGAGGGAGCUGGGCUGAACCCAACGUACCCACCUUGUGGGGAAAAUGAUGAACAGAACCGAGUCAAGGACUGGAGGGCUAGCAGAGACAAGCAACCAGGGCAAACGUUGAACCUCCAUGAGUCUCAGCUUCCUCAUUAGUAAAAUGGUGACCUGAAGCCCUAGCCUGCUUCAUAGACCAUUUAAAGAUUAGAUUGUCCAUAUUAGAGGGGCCUUGUCAACCACAAAGCUCUAAAGAAUGUAAGAAGUUGCUAUUAACAUUGAUAUUAUUUAUAUUAUUAUUAUUAUUACUCCCCCUCCCCGCAAGCUGCUGUUUCUAUCGUAACUAUCUGGUUCACAGCCCACCUUUCUUUCUUUUUGCUGAUUCCCUAAUUGUUUCAAGUUAAUUAUUAGGCACAGUCUGUUCAGCCUCCCACAUGAAUUUGAUUUUUCUCUUGUCUUUUAUUCCCCAAAUGUGCCCAGGAUACUUGACUGAAUUGGUAGUCAGAUUGUUAGGCAAUUGGAGAGUCCCUAACAGGGCACCCUCUCCCUGCUCACACAGCCAAGUUCCCAAGUGUGACAUGAUCUAAAGCCAGACUGAUGGCAGAUGCUUGCUUGCCAAAGCGACCCCGGGGCCUCUGUUCCUCUCCUAGCCAGGAAAAAGGAGCAGAACACAGCUAUUCUUCAUGACUUUUCAUCUUUGUUCCUCAUGAUGGCUGAGCCUAACAUGCCUUCCUCUUACUCCAUCUCUUCCUGCCUGAGACAAUGCAUAGGAUUGUUGCUGGAAUUCAGCCUCUGUCUGCUGGUGCUGAAUUGAGGUGCAGAGAUGGAGUUUGGGGUAAAAGAGAAGAGAAGAAAAAAAAAAAAAAGCUUUGUGGAGGAGUUCGCAUCAUGGCGCAGUGGAAACGAAUCCCACUAGGAACCAUGAGGUUUCAGGUUCGAUCCCUGGCCUCGCUCAGUGGGUUAAGGACCUGGCGUUGCUGUGAGCUGUGGUGUAGGUUGCAGACACAGCUUGGAUCCCGUGUUGCUGUGGCUUUGGCGUAGGCUGGCAGCAACAGCUCCAAUUAUACCGCUAGCCUGAGAAUCUCCAUAUGCUGCGGGUGCGCCCUAAAAGGACAAAAGACAAAAAAAAAAAAAAAAAAGCUUAUUGCUUUGCCAGGCUAAGGAGGGUCUAAUUCCCUAAAGACUGUGCCCCCCAUUAGUAAAAAGGAAAAAACAGAUUUUCAGAUAAGAAUCAGGAUUGGGACAAACACGCAUGCUCCUUUCUUUUGGGGGAAUUUUAGUCAUCAAAGCUGGAGUCAGUAGAUCUCAGUUUGAUCAUGAAGGUGGUCUUCUGGGUUACUGCCUAGAAUAACAGUACUUACAAAAGGGGCAUAUUGAUCAGAGAUUAGAACAAACUAGGAAAGUUCCUCAAAAACAUCAUGCGCUAAUAAUCUUUAACCCACAGGUGAUUGUGCUCAGGGUGCCCAAUCUUUAGCUUUCAGGCAAUCGUGUUUAAGGUGUAAUUAAGCUAGGGAGAAGGACAAGGAAGGACUCUAAGCUGUCCUCAACUAUUUCUCUCUUGUCUUUGCAUUCCCUCCCUUCCCUGAUCAGCAGCUGACUGAGCCUGUCCCUAGGAACUCAGGGAAGGUCAUGAUGGCUAAAUGAGGCCCAUUUCCUAAGAGCAAGAAAUGGGGGCCACAGAAAGGCUCUUGUACCCAGGAGCCCCACAGGGCUGUGUCUGGUUUCAGGAUCUGGUACAGUAGUUUCCUGGGGAUGCUGUAACAAAGUAUCACAAACCAGGUGGCUUAACAAAACAGCAAUCUAUCCUUUACAGUUCUGGGAGCUGGAGUCUGACAUCAAGGUGUUUGCAGGGCCAUACUCUCUCUGAGUCUAUAAGGGAAGAUCCUUCUUUGCCUCUUCCUAGUUUCUGGAGCCAUCCUUGGAGUUCUGUAGUUUGUGGCAGUAUAACUCCAAUCUCUGCUUCCAUCUUCAUGUGGCAUUCCCUCCUGCUUGUCCAUGUCCAAAUUUCUCUCUUCUUAUAAGUCAUUGAAUUAGGUCCCACUCUAAUCUAAUAUCACUUCAUCUGAACUUGAUCACAUCUGCAAAGACCCCAUUUCCAAAUAAGGUCACAUUUACAGGUUCUAGAUGUGUUAAGACUUGAACAUAUCUUUUUGUGGGAACACAAAUAAAUCCAUAAAAUAUGGUGAUCUGAAAGGCAAGAGGACUCUGACCUUGGAUGGCUUCGGGAAGUAUACAAAAGCACUGUCAUUCAGAAUAUGAGGUCUGAUUCUAGUCUUGGCGUCUGGUCCUUUUAGUGGUCCAAGACCAGUCUGCAAACUUCCUGGAGAUCAACUUUCUUAUCAGUAAAAGUGACAAGUCUGGAUUCCUAAGCUGUGAUAAGUUAAAAUAACUCUAGAAGGAUGUAAAUUAUCCUCUGAGCCCUAAAAGCCUACAGAUAUGUUUAUUAAUAAAAGUCAAAACUGU
rnacentral:lncRNA from 1 species